rnacentral:rRNA from 1 species
GAACGGGUGAGUAACACGUGGGCAAUCUGCCCUUCACUCUGGGACAAGCCCUGGAAACGGGGUCUAAUACCGGAUACCACUCCUGCCCGCAUGGGCGGGGGUUGAAAGCUCCGGCGGUGAAGGAUGAGCCCGCGGCCUAUCAGCUUGUUGGUGGGGUAAUGGCCCACCAAGGCGACGACGGGUAGCCGGCCUGAGAGGGCGACCGGCCACACUGGGACUGAGACACGGCCCAGACUCCUACGGGAGGCAGCAGUGGGGAAUAUUGCACAAUGGGCGAAAGCCUGAUGCAGCGACGCCGCGUGAGGGAUGACGGCCUUCGGGUUGUAAACCUCUUUCAGCAGGGAAGAAGCGAAAGUGACGGUACCUGCAGAAGAAGCGCCGGCUAACUACGUGCCAGCAGCCGCGGUAAUACGUAGGGCGCAAGCGUUGUCCGGAAUUAUUGGGCGUAAAGAGCUCGUAGGCGGCUUGUCACGUCGGAUGUGAAAGCCCGAGGCUUAACCUCGGGUCUGCAUUCGAUACGGGCUAGCUAGAGUGUGGUAGGGGAGAUCGGAAUUCCUGGUGUAGCGGUGAAAUGCGCAGAUAUCAGGAGGAACACCGGUGGCGAAGGCGGAUCUCUGGGCCAUUACUGACGCUGAGGAGCGAAA